rnacentral:rRNA from 1 species
CAGCAGCCGCGGGAAUACGAAGGGUGCAAGCGUUAAUCGGAAUUACUGGGCGUAAAGCGUGCGUAGGCGGUUUGUUAAGUCUGUUGUGAAAUCCCCGGGCUCAACCUGGGAAUGGCAAUGGAUACUGGCAAGCUAGAGUGUGUCAGAGGAUGGUGGAAUUCCCGGUGUAGCGGUGAAAUGCGUAGAGAUCGGGAGGAACAUCAGUGGCGAAGGCGGCCAUCUGGGACAACACUGACGCUGAGGCACGAAAGCGUGGGGAGCAAACAGGAUUAGAUACCCGCGUAGUCCCUGUCUCUUAUAC